rnacentral:rRNA from 1 species
GAUGAACGCUGGCGGCGUGCCUAAUACAUGCAAGUCGAGCGAAUGGAUUAAGAGCUUGCUCUUAUGAAGUUAGCGGCGGACGGGUGAGUAACACGUGGGUAACCUGCCCAUAAGACUGGGAUAACUCCGGGAAACCGGGGCUAAUACCGGAUAACAUUUUGAACCGCAUGGUUCGAAAUUGAAAGGCGGCUUCGGCUGUCACUUAUGGAUGGACCUGCGUCGCAUUAGCUAGUUGGUGAGGUAACGGCUCACCAAGGCAACGAUGCGUAGCCGACCUGAGAGGGUGAUCGGCCACACUGGGACUGAGACACGGCCCAGACUCCUACGGGAGGCAGCAGUAGGGAAUCUUCCGCAAUGGACGAAAGUCUGACGGAGCAACGCUGCGUGAGUGAUGAAGGCUUUUGGGUCGUAAAACUCUGUUGUUAGGGAAGAACAAGUGCUAGUUGAAUAAGCUGGCACCUUGACGGUACCUAACCAGAAAGCCACGGCUAACUACGUGCCAGCCGCCGCAGUAA